UGUUUCAAAAAAAUACUGCCAUACAUGUUAUUGAUGUACUAAGGAAUAAAUGGAUCACACCACUGAAUACUAAUAUGGUAUGGUUUAGCUGUAUGAGAAUUUUUGAUUCAACUGUCGAUGGUAGGUUACACGCCUAUCAGGUCGUAACAGGUGACGAGGAAUCACGGCUCGAUUCCGGAGAGAGAGCCUGAGAAACGGCUACCACAUCCAGGAAAGGCAGCAAGCGUGCAAAUUUACCCACUUCCAGAGCGGGGAGGUAGUGACAAAAAAUAACAGUACGUGACUCUUUUGGGACUCCAUAAUUGGAAUCAGUGCAAUCUAAAUCCUUUAACAAUGAUCAGCUGGAGGGCAAGUUUGGUGCCAGUAGCCGUGUAAUUCUAGCUCCACU
rnacentral:ncRNA from 1 species